GACAGAGGAUGCAAGCGUUAUCCGGAAUGAUUGGGCGUAAAGCGUCUGUAGGUGGCUUUUUAAGUCCGCCGUCAAAUCCCAGGGCUCAACCCUGGACAGGCGGUGGAAACUACCAAGCUGGAGUACGGUAGGGGGCAGAGGGAAUUUCCGGUGGAGCGGUGAAAUGCGUAGAGAUCGUAAGGAAGACCAGUGGCGAAGGCGGGUCUCUGGACAGUUCCUGACGCUGAGGCACGAAGGUCAGGGGAGCAAACGGG
rnacentral:rRNA from 1 species